UACGGGGGGAGCAAGCGUUGUUCGGAUUCAUUGGGCGUAAAGGGUGCGUAGGUGGCGCCGUAAGUCGGGUGUGAAAUUUCGGAGCUUAACUCCGAAACUGCAUUCGAUACUGCGGUGCUUGAGGACUGGAGAGGAGACUGGAAUUCAUGGUGUAGCAGUGAAAUGCGUAGAGAUCAUGAGGAAGACCAGUGGCGAAGGCGGGGUCUCUGGACAGUUCCUGACACUGAGGCACGAAGGCCAGGGGAGCAAACGGG
rnacentral:rRNA from 1 species